rnacentral:rRNA from 1 species
AACGAACGCUGGCGGCAUGCCUAACACAUGCAAGUCGAACGCCCUGGUUCGCCAGGGAGUGGCGCACGGGUGAGUAACGCGUGGGAACCUGCCCGGCAGUACGGGACAACCGCGGGAAACUGCGGCUGAUACCGUAUACGGCCUGAGGGCGAAAGAAUUUCGCUGUCGGAGGGGCCCGCGUCGGAUUAGGUAGUUGGUGGGGUAACGGCCUACCAAGCCUGCGAUCCGUAGCUGGUCUGAGAGGAUGAUCAGCCACACUGGGACUGAGACACGGCCCAGACUCCUACGGGAGGCAGCAGUGGGGAAUAUUGGACAAUGGGCGCAAGCCUGAUCCAGCAAUGCCGCGUGAGUGAUGAAGGCCUUAGGGUUGUAAAGCUCUUUCGCCCGCGACGAUGAUGACGGUAGCGGGAGAAGAAGCCCCGGCUAACUCUGUGCCAGCAGCCGCGGUAAUACGGAGGGGGCUAGCGUUGUUCGGAAUUACUGGGCGUAAAGGGCGCGCA